GCCAUUAUCAAUAAGCGGAGGAAAAGAAACCAACCGGGAUUGCCUCAGUAACGGCGAGUGAAGCGGCAAAAGCUCAAAUUUGAAAUCUGGUACCUUCGGUGCCCGAGUUGUAAUUUGUAGAGGGCGACUUUGGGGCGGCUCCUUGUCUAUGUUCCUUGGAACAGGACGUCAUAGAGGGUGAGAAUCCCGUGUGGCGAGGAGUGCGGUUCCGUGUAAAGCGCUCUCGAAGAGUCGAGUUGUUUGGGAAUGCAGCUCUAAGUGGGUGGUAAAUUCCAUCUAAAGCUAAAUAUUGGCGAGAGAGAUAGCGAACAAGUACAGUGAUGGAAAGAUGAAAAGAACUUUGAAAAGAGAGUGAAAAAGUACGUGAAAUUGUUGAAAGGGAAGGGCAUUUGAUCAGACAUGGUGUUUUGCGCCCCCCGCUCCUCGUGGGUGGGGGACUCUCGCAGCUCACUGGGCCAGCAUCAGUUUUGGCGGCCGGACAAAACUGCAGGAACGUAGCUUGCUUCGGGAAGUGUUACAGCCUGCAGGAAUACGGCCAGCCGGGACUGAGGAAUGCGAUUCGUCAAGGAUGCUGGCAUAAUGGUUAUAUGCCGCCCGUCUUGAAACACGGACCAAGGAGUCUAACGUCUAUGCGAGUGUUUGGGUGUGAAACCCAUACGCGUAAUGAAAGUGAACGUAGGUUGGGGCCUGUCAAAGGGUGCACAAUCGACCGAUCCUGAUGUUUUCAGA
rnacentral:rRNA from 1 species